rnacentral:tRNA from 1 species
GUUGCAAUUGCCAAGUAGUUAAAGUGCUGGACUGAAAAUCCGAUUGGUUUCCCUUGCACAGGUUCAAAUUCUGUUCGUAGUG